GGGGGACGGAGAAGGCUAUGUUGGCCGGGCGACGGUUGUCCCGGUUUAAGCGUGUAGGUGUGUGUUCCAGGUAAAUCCGGUUCACUUUAACACUGAGGCGUGAUGACGAGGCACUACGGUGCUGAAGCAACAAAUGCCCUGCUUCCAGGAAAAGCCUCUAAGCAUCAGGUAACAUCAAAUCGUACCCCAAACCGACACAGGUGGUCAGGUAGAGAAUACCAAGGCGCUUGAGAGAACUCGGGUGAAGGAACUAGGCAAAAUGGUGCCGUAACUUCGGGAGAAGGCACGCUGACACGUAGGUGAAGUGAUUUACUCAUGGAGCUGAAGUCAGUCGAAGAUACCAGCUGGCUGCAACUGUUUAUUAAAAACACAGCACUGUGCAAACACGAAAGUGGACGUAUACGGUGUGACGCCUGCCCGGUGCCGGAAGGUUAAUUGAUGGGGUCAGCGCAAGCGAAGCUCCUGAUCGAAGCCCCGGUAAACGGCGGCCGUAACUAUAACGGUCCUAAGGUAGCGAAAUUCCUUGUCGGGUAAGUUCCGACCUGCACGAAUGGCGUAAUGAUGGCCAGGCUGUCUCCACCCGAGACUCAGUGAAAUUGAACUCGCUGUGAAGAUGCAGUGUACCCGCGGCAAGACGGAAAGACCCCGUGAACCUUUACUAUAGCUUGACACUGAACAUUGAGCCUUGAUGUGUAGGAUAGGUGGGAGGCUUUGAAGUGUGGACGCCAGUCUGCAUGGAGCCGACCUUGAAAUACCACCCUUUAAUGUUUGAUGUUCUAACGUGGACCCGUGAUCCGGGUUGCGGACAGUGUCUGGUGGGUAGUUUGACUGGGGCGGUCUCCUCCUAAAGAGUAACGGAGGAGCACGAAGGUUGGCUAAUCCUGGUCGGACAUCAGGAGGUUAGUGCAAUGGCAUAAGCCAGCUUGACUGCGAGCGUGACGGCGCGAGCAGGUGCGAAAGCAGGUCAUAGUGAUCCGGUGGUUCUGAAUGGAAGGGCCAUCGCUCAACGGAUAAAAGGUACUCCGGGGAUAACAGGCUGAUACCGCCCAAGAGUUCAUAUCGACGGCGGUGUUUGGCACCUCGAUGUCGGCUCAUCACAUCCUGGGGCUGAAGUAGGUCCCAAGGGUAUGGCUGUUCGCCAUUUAAAGUGGUACGCGAGCUGGGUUUAGAACGUCGUGAGACAGUUCGGUCCCUAUCUGCCGUGGGCGCUGGAGAACUGAGGGGGGCUGCUCCUAGUACGAGAGGACCGGAGUGGACGCAUCACUGGUGUUCGGGUUGUCAUGCCAAUGGCACUGCCCGGUAGCUAAAUGCGGAAGAGAUAAGUGCUGAAAGCAUCUAAGCACGAAACUUGCCCCGAGAUGAGUUCUCCCUGAGACUUUAGGUCUCCUGAAGGAACGUUGAAGACGACGACGUUGAUAGGCCGGGUGUGUAAGCGCAGCGAUGCGUUGAGCUAACCGGUACUAAUGAACCGUGAGGCUUAACCUU
rnacentral:rRNA from 1 species